rnacentral:rRNA from 1 species
GGUUGCGAUCAUACCAGCACUAAUGCACCGGAUCCCAUUAGAUCUCCGCUGUUAAGCGUGUUUGGGCGAGAGUAGUACAAGGAUGGGUGACCCCCUCGGAAGUCCUCGUGUUGCAACCC